AGGUGGGGCUUCUACAAAAGCCAGGAAAUUGGAAGCAGAAGGCACAGCAGGGAAAGAGUCUGCAGUCACUCUCUGGGAGAAGGGAGGUAUGUUUCAGAGUAAACAAUGCCCGAGUUCCACACAUGUAAAGAAAUCUGAAUACUGGAGCUGAAAUCUACCGUGUGGACUGGAGAUGACGUUGACAUAAGUGUAUCAACACAUUCUAAAAUGGUCUAAUGCUGCAACAAUCCAGAAGUGCACCUUGCAGGAUUACAGACAUGAAGAUAUGUUUAACAGGGAGCAAAAACAAGCCACUGGGUCAAUUUUUGCUCUCAGUUCCACAUAUGCAACGCUUUUAACCUUACCAGGGCUGAACAUGAGUAAAUAAGAGAAGCAUUAGGAUCACUGUGUUUUUUGGACUACAAAUGAUGUGUAACUAGGCACCCAAAACAACACCAGCCUUCAGAAUACCUAUUUUGGCGCUUUUUUUUUUUUUUUUUUUUUGGAUGCUGAGGAGAGGAAAGAAUUGUGCUCUAGCACAACCUCAUAAUAUGCAACAUCAUCAUGUCAUAAUUAUUGAAAGUGGCAAAGCAUUUGGAAAACAUUAAGACAUUUGCAAGUUGCUGCCCAGAACUGUUUUUCCUGAGAAUGCAUUAAAUUUAGAAAUACUAUGAUUUCUAGAAAACAUCUAAA